GGUCAAGAGCACCAGCGUCAAGCCCCGGCUCGCUGGUCGGCAACCCUCCAUCCGCGGUGGGGUGCCCCGGGAGACGACCUGGUCCGUGAGCACCCGCCCACGGUCAAGCGCGAUGA
rnacentral:ncRNA from 1 species